ACCGUUGCUUCAGAAUCUACAUUCAGUACUGGCGGUAGACAUGUGGGUUCACACCGAGCAAGACUUCAUCCUUCUACAUUAGAAGCAUUGAUAUGCACUCAAAAUUGGUUGGUAAAUGACAAAAAAGAAGCGACUCCACUAGUCACCAUGAAUGAUGAAGAUAAUGAUGUAGAUCCAACUAUGGAGCCAUACAUAGUUGAUCUUGAUGAUUAAGGUAGCAGGUCAAUAAAGAAGAUCUUGA